UUAAGCUAAUUAUAUGAUUAGUUGGUUAGAGGUAGGCAAACACUUCAUCUAGGAAUGCCAACUGGCAUAUAUCUAUAUAUAUAAAAGAGAGACCAGUGUCUCCCAAAGGGUUAGAAACACGAGCACAUAAAGAGAAGUGAGAAAAUUUUGGUCUAGAGAUAAACUAGACCAAGAGGAAAGAAAGAACAAAACGGAAAAUCUGGUUUUUGAUUCCUACUUUCUUUUGACUUAAAUUUGAGGUAUUGAUGGUGAGGUUUGAUGGCCAACAACUUCAAGCUGUGUAUAAGGAGAGGACGGGGGAACAAGCUGGAUAAUUUCUCGGAACAAGCAAUCGUAAGGGCAGUAUAGGUGACUGAAUAUCCACAAAGCACAAAGUAAUUCAGAUGAUGAAACAUACAAUUGAUGACAAUUUAUAGGUAGA